GAUGAACGCUAGCGAUAGGCUUAACACAUGCAAGUCGAGGGGCAGCAUGGUCUUAGCUUGCUAAGGCUGAUGGCGACCGGCGCACGGGUGCGUAACGCGUAUGCAACUUGCCUCACAGAGGGGGAUAACCCGUCGAAAGACGGACUAAUACCGCGUACACUCUAUGUUGGGCAUCCAAUGUAGAGGAAAUGAAAUUCGCUGUGAGAUAGGCAUGCGUCCCAUUAGCUAGUUGGUGAGGUAACGGCUCACCAAGGCGACGAUGGAUAGGGGAACUGAGAGGUUGAACCCCCACACUGGUACUGAGACACGGACCAGACUCCUACGGGAGGCAGCAGUGAGGAAUAUUGGUCAAUGGGCGAGAGCCUGAACCAGCCAAGUCGCGUGAAGGAUGACUGUCUUAUGGAUUGUAAACUUCUUUUAUACGGGAAUAACAAGAGUCACGUGUGGCUCCCUGCAUGUACCGUAUGAAUAAGCAUCGGCUAACUCCGUG
rnacentral:rRNA from 1 species